rnacentral:rRNA from 1 species
CGGUAAUACGUAGGUGGCAAGCGUUAUCCGGAAUUACUGGGCGUAAAGAGUGAGCAGGCGGUUAGAUAAGUCUAUGGUUAAAUGCAACAGCUCAACUGUUGUUCGCUAUAGAAACUAUUUAACUAGAGUGCGGGAGAGGUAAGUGGAACUCCAUAUGUAGCGGUGGAAUGCUUAGAUAUAUGGAAGAACACCAGAGGCGAAGGCGGCUUACCAGUCCGUAACUGACGCUCAGUCACGAAAGCGUGGGGAGCAAAUAGGAUUAGAUAUCCUAGUAGUCCACGCCGUAAACGAUGAGAACCUGAUGCAGGAGAUAUUCUGUGUCGAAGCUAACGCGUUAAGUUCUCCGCCUGGGUACUACGUUCGCAAGAAUAAAACUUAAAGGAAUUGACGGGCGCCCGCACAAGCAGUGGAGCAUGGGGUUUAAUUCGUCGAUACACGAAAAACCUUACCAGGGCUUGACAUCCCGCUAAAAGCCUUAGAAAUAAGGAAAUAGUUAUAGCGGUGACAGGUGGUGCAUGGUUGUCGUCAGCUCGUGCCGUGAGGUGUUAGGUUAAGUCCUCAAACGAGCGCAACCCUUGUCUUUAGUUGCCAUUAUUAAUUUAGGAACUCUAGAGAGACUGCCGGCGCAAGCCGGAGGAAGGCGGGGAUGACGUCAAAUCAUCAUGCCCUUUAUGCCCUGGGCCACACCCGUGCUACAAUGGUCGGUACAAAGAGAAGCAACACUGUGAGGUGAAGCAAAUCCCAUAAAGCCGAUCUCAAUUCGGAUUGAAGUCUGCAACUCGACUUCAUGAAGCUGGAAUUGCUAGUAAUCGCAGAUCAGCAACGCUGCGGUGAAUACGUUCUCGGGCGUUGUACACACUGCCCGUCACACCAUGAGAGCCGGUAAUACUCGAAGUCGUUAGCCUAACCGUAAGGAGGGCGGCGCCUAAGGUAGGACUGGUGAUUGGGGUUAAGUCGUAACAAGGUAUCCCUACGAGAACGUGGGGAUG